ACGCAUCUCUGGCGGCGAGGGUGCGCCCUGCUCCGGACCGAAAGGCCGUGCAGCGGGCUAUCCCGGACCGCUAAACCUUUGCAAACCCACUGUGCACUUUUGUCGGCAAAGGGCCUUAGCGGGCCCGGAGCCGGAUCACAAACACUUUGUCAAUCGAAUGCAAGCGGACACUGAGCCGCCUAAACUUUAA
rnacentral:misc_RNA from 1 species